GCCGAGAUUAGGGUCGGGUCAAGGCGAGCCCUGGGAACCCAAAUAUGGGAAAAAUAACAGGAAACUCGACGCUCCAGAGGGGAACUUGGACAACAAAACCGGUGCCUUUCAGCACAUGCUGGGCCGGGGAAAGGACAGUCGGACAAUGGAUCUGAUCGAGUGUGUUCCAAUUUGAAAGAAACCCUGAACCACAGCAAUGCCGGGAGAGAGGGCAUGAUGUUCAUCCUGAAGACGUAUCGAGAGAUCGAAUGAAGAUUCCACUACUCCGGCUCUGUGUUGUACAAGGAUGUGCCCCGUUUUUGUCUUCUGCUUAUUUUGCCUGAAUCGUGGGACUUUGGGUAUGAUCGACAAUGGAACAGGCAAUGAUGGUGGAUCUAUGGAAUCAUGGACAGAUUCUUCUCAAGAAGAAAGGAGGUCAGCGGUGACUGUUAUGAUGAGCAGUUUGAAACAAAGAGCGAACGGUCAUCCACACACAGAAGAUGCAUCACAACCGACGGAAGUUAUGAAAAUGGCAGAUUCGACAGGCAACGGAUGGUUUACAGCAACACAGAUGAUGAGCAAAACGAGUGCUGUAAAAGAACACGAUGUGGACAAGGUUCGAUCGUUCACAAAAUCAGAACAUAUAAAGUCGCAUCACUUGAACGAAGAACGUCAAAGAGAAGAAUACCGAUCAUUUUUUGUGACUAAUGCAAAUAGCAUCAAUGUCCAAAUGUCACCUGUGCCAAAACAUUUCCAAGAACACUCGAAAACAAAAGGAAGAGCACCAAAAUAUUCUCGUUCAAAAGACUUGAAAGACAUGUUGGGACGAACCAAAGCCAUACCUGAUACAUCAACAAUAACAAAGACCACAAGGUUUUCAACAACAAAAAUAACCACUCGAGUGAUAGGCAAGAGACAUGAGCUUGAAACAAUAGCGCUGAACACGAGACACCCCAACAAUAUCGAAAUGGAUAUCAAAGGGAGAAAACUUGGAUCAAUAUCUCCUCAACUCAUUGAGAUAUCAAACAAACAAGCAAGUAGUCAAAAAGAAUUAUUGGAAACAUUACGACGGAGAACAUCGAUGACGACGACAGACCCUUUGGCUGAGCAGUUAUUGCACUCAAUUACGUCCAAAUCUUCAGAGAGGACGAUUUCUCCACGAAGCAACCGAGAGCUCCCAACCACAAAUAUACUUCCAGCAAUUCAUUACACCCUAACAGUGCGGGAAAUGCAAGGUUCCUCUGAGAAAACAACCAGAAAGAUUCAGACCGAGGUGCUAUGGAGGGAAGAAAGGCCCAUUGCUGACACACCUUCAGAAAUCACAGAUAUGCCACAGACGCUGCUCAUUGAGAAAGCAGAUUCAAAAUGGAGGACGACUUCAGAUGUGGCUCGGGUCUUCGCUGGCAACACUGAGUUCACCAAUCUGCAAUUACCAUCAAAGGGUCAUCCACAUGGCAAAGAGAAGGAUAGAGAGUUGUUUGUGGGGAAAGAUGUCCCACCACUGCCUUCUUCCUCAUAUGAAUCUUCCAUGCUGUUACCAAGUGAUGAGGGAAGUACAGUUAAAACAGAAAGAAACAUGAUAACAGUUUCUAUGGAGAACAUCAACAGACCUGUAGUUACGGUAUCUGUGAUUGAACAGGGGGGUUUAGGAAAAACUUUGACUCAGCCUUCAUACUUCUCAUCAAAUGGGGUUAGUUUGUUGACCAAUGAAUGGAGGUUUCAAACAAGGCCCUCCUCAAAUUCUGAGAUUUUUCAAGCGCCUACAAAACCAUCAUUAUCAAACAAACUUCGGGGAAUAAGUACACUGAUGGGGAACAACGUGUCUAACGUUUCACAUCACAAGAUAAUGAGGAAAACAAGCACAUUAAAGGUGAGUAGACCUACAAAAGCAGAGGUAAUAUCUCGUCGAAUAGCACCCGCAACUUCUACAAGGUUUACAGCAAGUUAUUCAAAUUUUAUUACAAUGGAUAAAAGCAGGAAUGUAACAGUUCCAUCUCCUGUUAUAAAGUCACUGGAUAGUUUAUUUGUGGAAGGCGGCUUUACAACGCCGAUGAAACUUAGUGAAGAGCCAUCCACCUUAAAACCUUCACCACUGUCGCCUGCCACCAAGGUGGAUGUGACUUACGGUGGUGCUGGAUCAUCAGUUGAUGUUUCCAGAUGGAUGAAAAAAAUAUCAUAUGAUGGAACCUCUGCACCACGCAAAAGUGUUUCAGAGAACGAUGGAAACAUCAACAUGAAUGCGUUAUUUUCUUCAGCCACCGACAUUCCCUUGAUAGCUCCUUUAUCUGUAGCUUUGAUGGAAUCUCAAAGCAUUAUUCCAACCGAUUCAACAAUUUCUCAAAAAACCCGAAAGAAAGUUCCUUUAGAGAAGCCGCUGGAACAUGACAAACCAGUAAUAGAGAUGGUAUCAAGAACCACCUCGACAGUAAGUCAGUCACAAGCAUAUUCCCACUCGGACAGCUUUGUACAGACCCCUGAUCCAGGCAGAGUAGUAGCUGAGGUAAUGACUUCUUUCAGGAAUGUGACUCAGGCAAUGUCUGCUGUAUAUCCUGAUCAAGACAUGAAGACAGCAGUAAAACCAAAUGAUCUUCCAUCCUCCAUCGCUUCUCCAGUAACAACUCUGAAUGGUAAGAUGGACAUUUUCCGUUUUGUUUUGGAAAAUAUAAUUGUCAUUUGAUUCGACCGUAUCACGUAUUGUCAGCAAUUUAAACAUUUACGAUGGCUGCCACACCACCACAACUCAAUUGAAACAAAGCAUGGGGGG
ensembl:lincRNA